rnacentral:rRNA from 1 species
GAAUAAGCCCCGGCUAACUCCGUGCCAUCAGUCGCGUUAAUACUGAGGGGGCAAGCGUUGUCCGGACUUACUGCGCGUACAGGGUACGUACGCGGUGGAGUGCGUCAUCACUGAAAAUGCCGGGCUUAACCCUGGCGGGGCGUGGUGAUACGACUUCAUUGGAGGCAGGGAGAGGGUAUCAGAAUUCCGGGUGUAGUAGGUGAAAAAUAGCGUAGAGGCUCCGGAGGAAUGUCGGUGGCAGUAAGCGGCUACUUGGCCCUGACCUGAACGCUGAGGCACGAAAGCGUGAGGGAACGAACACGGAGUAGAUACCCGGGUAGUCCACGCAGUCAAACGUUGUUCGCAUCGGUGUUCGGGGGCAGCCAACCGCUGUGCUGUGUACCCAAGUUCACACGGUAAGCGAACCGCAUGGUGACCUACGAGCGCAAGCUUAUAACUCAAAGGAAUUGACGGGGGCCAGCACAAGCAGCGGAGCGUGUGGUUUAAUUCGACGCAACGCGAAGAACCUUACCUGGGUGCGACAUGCUUCCGCAAGCGCACAGAAAUGUGUGACCUUCGAGGGUGAAGCACAGGUACUGCAUGGCUGUCGUCAGCUCAGUGUCGUGAGAUGUUGGGUUAAGUCCCGCAACGAGCGCAACCCUCGUCGCUAGUUAUAGGUGUCUAGCGAGACUGCCCACGGUUCGUGGGAGGAAGGCGGAGACGACGUCAAGUCCGCACUGGCACGUGACGCGACGGGCGACACACACGCAUACAAUGGUACCGACAGACUGUUGCAAGCUGGCAACAGCACGCUAAUC